CCCUUAGAUGUUCUGGGCCGCACGCGUGCUACACUGACCGGUGCAACAAGUUUCUUUCCUUGGCUCGAUAGGCCUGGGUAAUCUUUGAACACCGGUCGUGAUGGGGAUAGAUCCUUGCAAUUUUUGAUCUUCAACGAGGAAUUCCUAGUAAAUGCGAGUCAUCAUCUCGCGUUGAUUACGUCCCUGCCCUUUGUACACACCGCCCGUCGCUCCUACCGAUUGAAUGGUCCGGUGAAGCGUUCGGACCGUGGCCUUUGGACGGUUCGCCGUCUGUUGGCUGCGGGAAGUUCGUUAAACCUUAUCAUUUAGAGGAAGGAGAAGUCGUAACA
rnacentral:rRNA from 1 species